rnacentral:tRNA from 1 species
GGGGUUGUGGCUCAGUGAUAGAGUGUUUGCCUAGCAUGUGUAAGGCCCUGGGUUCAAUUCUCAGCACCA